UCUCUUUCUCUGCAUUUUUCUUCCCCCGACAGAAACCCAUCACCUGCAGUUUCUUCUUCUCGAGCUUCACCACCACCACCUUCACCCGACCACGACAGUAGACCAAAUCAUCAGUUUAACCCCCUAGUCUUUCUUUCUCCAUCAUAGCUUCUUCAUACCUAGAUGAUACAAUUGAGAGAGGCAGACUUAGGGUUUCCCCUCACAGUCGAUUAAGGACAAUUGGAGUAGGAGAUGGAGUGGCAGAAGCAAGACAAGGCAUGGGUUGUCGUCAAUUAGCAGAGGAGAAAACAAAAUCAGAAGAUUGUUGGUGUUGCUGCUGCUGCUGCUGUGCUGUUGCUGCUGCUGGUGCUGUUGCUGCUGUGAACCAAAGCCCAACUGGGCUGUGAAACUAGAACAACAGAGCAGUUGGGCUGUGCUAAAAAGAGUAAGCCUAAACCCAAUAAUUGUGUGGGCUUGCUUUAAAAACUGAAAUUCCGGGCCUUGUAAAUUGAUUCUGAAACUCUUGAACCCAAGUGCACUUUGUUUCUGAACUCUGGGCUUGAACCCAACUCAGAAUUUGUAAAACGUUUUUAAGCCCAAGUGGGCCUCAUAUUUUUGCUAACUGAGAGCCCAAAAAUCAAAUACCCAGCUGGGCCUCGUGCAUUUCUGGGCUUGGUUCA